CCUCCAUCCCAGGGUGGCUCAGGACGCGUCGUUCGAAUCACGGCUAAGUCGAGGUCACUCUGGAAUUGACACCGUGCUCCCCCUGCUGGAAGUCGUGCUGCCCACUGAGGCAGGGCGGUGGCUCAGGCAUCUCCUGCUGCUCUCUCGGGCCCUGAGGAACACCUGGCAGGGGCCAGCAUUCACCUCGUGUCCACACGGGGAGAGGCCCGUCGGCCGGGGAGCGGCGACAGAUUCUGUCGGGCGGGGAAGCGCUGGACUUCACCACUCCAUGACACUGGCCCCAUCGGGCUCUGCUGAAAAAGGAGGGGUCGUGAGCUGAUGUCUUCCACAGUAAGACUGCGGGGGAGGAAGCAGGAUGGGGCGUGUGCAUAUUUUUUCUCUUUCCUGUCCAGAAAACUCUGCAACCCAGGACGCGGCGGUCACCAUGAGCAAAAUAAAGCAGGUCACGAAAACCAAA